CCUACGGGUGGCAGCAGUCGAGAAUUAUUCACAAUGGGGGAAACCCUGAUGGUGCGAUGCCGCGUGGGGGAAUGAAGGUCUUUGAAUUGUAAACCGCUGUUAUGCGGGAGCAAAUCCAAAUGCUAGUACCACAAGAGGAAGAGACGACGAAUUCUGAGCGAGCAGCUGCGGUAAUACGGAGGUCUCAAGCGUUGUUCGGCAUCAGUGGGCGUAAAGUGUGCGUAGGCUGUUUCGUAAGUCAUGUGUGAAAUGCGCGGGCUCAACCCACGGACGGCACAUGAUACUGUUAGUCUAGAGUAGUGGUGUGGUAGGCGGAAUGCUCGGUGUAGCAGUGAAAUGCAUAGAUAUC
rnacentral:rRNA from 1 species